GAUGAACGCUGGCGGCGUGCCUAAUACAUGCAAGUCGAGCGAACGGACGAGAAGCUUGCUUCUCUGAUGUUAGCGGCGGACGGGUGAGUAACACGUGGAUAACCUACCUAUAAGACUGGGAUAACUUCGGGAAACCGUAGCUAAUACCGGAUAAUAUUUUGAACCGCAUGGUUCAAAAGUGAAAGACGGUCUUGCUGUCACUUAUAGAUGGAUCCGCGCUGCAUUAGCUAGUUGGUAAGGUAACGGCUUACCAAGGCAACGAUGCAUAGCCGACCUGAGAGGGUGAUCGGCCACACUGCAACUGAGACACGGUCCAGACUCCUACGGGAGGCAGCAGUAGGGAAUCUUCCGCAAUGGGCGAAAGCCUGACGGAGCAACGCCGCGUGAGUGAUGAAGGCCUUCGGAUCGUAAAACUCUGUUAUUAGGGAAGAACAUAUGUGUAAGUAACUGUGCACAUCUUGACGGUACCUAAUCAGAAAGCCACGGCUAACUACGUG
rnacentral:rRNA from 1 species